rnacentral:tRNA from 1 species
GCGCCCGUAGCUCAGCCGGAUAGAGCAUCAGAUUCCUAAUCUGGAGGCCGCGUGUUCGAAUCACGCCGGGCGCACCA